rnacentral:tRNA from 1 species
GGGCGGUUAGUUCAGCUGGCUAGAACGUCUGGUUUACACCCAGAAGGUCGGGGGUUCAAGUCCCUCACCGCCCACCA